UUCCCUUUCCUUUCACGAAUAAACAUGGCAGAGAAACAACGGAACUAAGUCGCGGAGAAAAUAGCACACGCGGGAGUUCCUCGUCGAUAAUACCUUGCCGGACGAAGAUGAGCGUGCGACUGCACACUGGCACACCCAUCAGCUUGCUGGUGCCGUUUCCUGCCGGUGGGUGGUGGUCCGAUUGGCUCUCACGCUGAAACGUCAAGCGACGACGCUCCUUUCUCUAUUUUUGGGUCAACUCUGCGGUCACGCGACAAGUGCAACGGAAGCGAGGGUGGCGCAAGAGCUCUUUCUCUUUCUCUCUCUCGCCACCUCGGUCCUGGCCACGAUCCGGCACGUGGUGCGGUUGCGUCCGUGUCCGGGUGGGAAGCCCUUCUGCCCAGAACUGCGGUGUCGAGGCCGCUCAACGCUGCGAUGCGCGUCCGAGGCUGAGAGUUAAGCAGAGAAUGGGAGAGGGCAUGCGUCGCCCCCGCCACCCACUCAUUCUGUGGCACAUGUUCCCCCAAUCGAGGACCCAUUGAUCACAGAAGGCAACGUGUUUGUAUUGCUGCGCCCUGUUUUGGCGCCACCUCUACCAGGUGACGCGACAGGAUUUCCCCCGACUGUUAGCGCGAACCAGGCCAACCGUGUUGCAAAAGCUUUAAGGCUGACUGCACGCAGGGCUCAAGAGGCAUUCGCUUUCAUCCAGAAGCUUGAAGCACAAGUGUGAAGUGUGAGAGCCUCUGCUGCAUACUCCCGACGCUCACUUCACAAUGAAGACCGUAUUCCUAGCUUUCUGCCUUGGGGUGUUUGCCUUCGCUAUUUUGGCGGACUUGACAGCAGCCUACGAAUUUACCCAUUUUGAAGCAGGCCUUGGAUGUCCAAAGUCGUUGCUGACUUGUUCGCAAGAAUGCCGAAGAAAUUACGGUCAUCAAGGUGGAUAUUGCAGUGGGCCGUUCAACAUCGUCUGCAUCUGUACCUGACCGCGCUUCGACAGGUUUAAUUACCCUGUCUCACCGUUCGUGUUCACGUUUUCGUCCUUGCAGUGCAAGAUGCCUGAGUGAAACUUCUCGCUCAUCAUGUUAAUGGAUUGCGCCCGUUGUAAUGAAACAGGUAUCCGGACGCAUUAUACCAUUAAAGAUAUGUAGUUUGUUUUCUGCUACAUCGUUGGUACUUCUUCAUUAGCUAAAUUAUCUCCAUGUUCACUUUAUUCUGAAUAAACUUUUAUUGUUGCGUAUUG